GGUGGGGAGCAGGGAGAGACACAGAUAAGAAUGAAAUAAUCAACUAACACCAUCAUUAAGAAUUGAUAAGUGCCAUCAAGGGAAAUUACAAGGAGCCAUGAGCAUGACUGAUGGAGCAGGCCUAGUCUGAGGGUUCUGUAAAGGACAUUUAAGCCUAGUCCUAAACGGUGAAUAGGAACUGGCUGGAAGUGACAGACAGACUGUUCGUGGCCCAAGGAACAGCCUGUGAGAGCUGCACUGUUAAGGAAAUGCCCAGGAAGUCAGGGUAGCUGCAGGGAUCAUGACGUGUAGUAAAGCUAAGUACAGAGAAGGGUCAGGCAUCAAAGACCCCAUAGACCAGCAGUAACAUUUGAGGCCUUAUCCUAAUAGUGACGGAAGCCAGCCUUUUCGGUAGGCAGGUCAGGGUCUAAGACCUAGUCAGCAGCGUUGACUCAGUGGGUUUUAAAGCUGAAGAGUUCUUGGAGAUCAUCUGACCCAGGGGUUCCCAGCCCUGACUGCCCAUUAGCUUUGGCUGGGGAAACGUUAAAACUUACCAGCACCAGGGGUCCAUACCUGAAUCUCACUGAACUAAUACGUUUUAAAAACUCCCAGGCACUGGUAUGUUUUAAAAACUCCCUCAGUGAUUCUAAUGUGCAACCAGGGUUGAAAAGCACUGAUUCAGCCCAAGCCUCUGACAUGACAGAGGGUAUAAUACUGGCCUGUGGAUAACUGUCACUCCGACUGUCCCAAUCAGCCCCAUCCCUAAGUAAGGAAACCAAAGUUGGCCACAGGAGUUAAGCAGCUCUUUGUUAUGAGGGCCACUGAAAUUCCAACCAAAGGAACAUAAAAGGAAGUGGUGAACUAUGGGGAAGUUCUCUUUUCUGCUUUAUUGUACAGCUACAAGAGCAUCAAAACACAUCUAUGACCUUUUAUUAAGGAGCUACUUCCUAUGGGCGCCCUGGGUCCACCACCAGCUCCACUCAGUAAAAACACAGCAGCUGGCUGUGAGGUGGGAGGCAGCCCAGGGCUGGCGAGAGACACACAAAAUGGGGGCCACUGUUGCUUCUGCAUCUAUUCUGGGCCCAGAAUGGAUGAUGUCACCUCCAGUGGCAGUGGAAAGCAGAGUCAUGAAUCAUCCAUGAAUCGAACCAGCUCUGAGAUAAUAAAUGGCGUGUCAGCAUUGCGUACUUUGCAGAUCUGGUACAGAGGCGCCGGCUUUGCCUAGGGUGCUGGAACACAGGCACCGAUGCUGGAGACGUUCAGGAGAAGGAGGUGCUUUCAAUUACUUCCUGAUAUCCAGAUGGGGUGGCAAGUUGAGGAAGAAGUUUCAGAUUCGUAAGAGUGCUCAAAGAAUUUUGCUGAAGGAGCAACUGUGACAUGGAUAGGACCGUGCAGAGCGAGAAGGCCACGCUUGCCCACUGGGACUGCAGGCCACUGACUUGGGGAAAAAUGCCAUGGGGACCAGACAGCAGCAGCAGCUGGCACAGGGGAUGAAAGAGCAGAUUUGAGAAGUGGGGAACAUGCAAAGGGCACAGCUGCAACAGGAUGGACUCCAGCCAUCGGUGCCAAUGCCUUGAAUCACAUCAGCAGGGGUCAUCAAUAACUGUGAUUCCGAGAACCCUUUCUACCCCACCCAGAGGUGCUUCUCGUUGGCAAACACACUUCCUCCAUCCCACAAAGUCCCAUGUACCUGCUGCCGAGUCCCCACCCUUUUCUUUAGGUUAAAUCAGAAUGUUAGAAACUCAUUAGGAAAAACAUGCAUACAUUGUCUUUGACAUCCCACACCUACAAAUGAAGCAAUGCCUUUUAAUGUUUUAAUUUAAUUUCUGCCUUUGUAUGUGCCCUCCCCCUUUUUGGGAAACAGGUGCCAAUAAACAAAUAAUUUCAGUGGGAUUCUUAAUCAUCUUUAGUGUACAUAAAAGAGGUCAGUUUCCAAAGUGAGUGUCUGGCAUAUAGGACAUUUAGGGCUGCUUUUUCCUCCUUAGAAAAGCAUUAUCGUCUAUCACAGUUUCAGCUACAUUUUACUGGCACCAUUUUAAUUAAUAAACUGAGUACGCAAAUUACAGAGACCUUAAACUUCAGCCAACUGCUUUUUUGGGAUGGAGCUGCUGAGUAAGCUCGGAAGGUGGGGCCAAGCUCCGACCCACUGCCUUGAGGUGAGCCUGCAAAAAGGGGCUCCCUCCCGCCCCACGGGCCCACCUCUGUGCCCUUCCAGCCCUGUAGCUCCUGGUAAGCCACAGCCAUCCCGGGAAAGGGACCUUUUUGUGCAGGGGGCCUGCUGGUGCUGGUGCUCUUUGAGGUUCACAAAACCAGCCUGGGGCUGAGGCCAGCACAGCAGAGGGGCCCUGCAGGUGGGGGCGGGGGUGGGGGGAGUAACUGUCUCAGAGCUGUUGUUCCCCUCCGUAGCCAUUAGCGUUGCACUUAAUAAGCAACUGCUAACAGUUGUGAGAGGAGUCAUCCAUCACACUGAUCUUUCUUUUUCUCUCCCCUGGCCUGUUCCUUUGCCUCCAGCAAUGUUCAGAGCAAACAGGCCUGCUGGGUAAUGGGAGCCAACCGGGGAGCGAGAAGGCCAGUCUCCAAGUCUCUCCUCUGUGCUCUGCCAGAAACCGUCCCCUCACCAGCUGACCCUCACCAGGCUGCCCAAUGAGCUUCAAAGAACACCCGGGCCCCCAGCAGCCCAGCUCUCCCCUGAGGGGCUAGACUUGGAGGGAUCCAGCAGCGCGUGGUUCAGGAGCCUAGGGCCCGGGGUUGUAGCUGGAGGGACAGCUGAGGCGCCCUGGAAUGAUGCGUGUCAUGGCGGAGCUCCCUUCCCCCACAUGGAGGUGAGAGUCGGAUGUAUUUUAGCAACCAACACCCUCACAUUCCACUUUCUCAAACAGGGUUGAUGUGCAGAGAGAAGAGCGGGGACACAGCACUGAACCAUUCCACCCUCCCUCCCUCUGGCUGUCAACCCCUCUACCCUCUGCCUACCAAAGGGCGAGUUAGAAAGGACAGCACCUGCUUCUUACCUCCAUGCCCUUCCCUUGACAGCUCCACUCCGAGAUCAAUACCUAAUGCUGAAUUCAAGAUCUUAUCUGAGUUUUGCAAGGAUAAAGCAACAAACUUUUUCCCAAUGAUUAAAUUCUUUGGUGAUCACAGCCCAGUAUAUUUCAGACCACCUCUAACAGCUUUUAGAGAGCAAAUGAAAUGACUGAGAAAACUGGAAAGCUACCAUUCUCUCUCCCUCCUUAGGCAUGAAUAAUCUCAUGGAAGGCCGUAAGAUGAAGACAUGGGCAGGGGCGAGGAAGGCCCUAGCUCUUACCCAUAACUCAGCUUCUGCAGGGCUGUAGGAAGCGGCUGUGUGGCUUUCUAAAACUCUACGUGCCUCGGUUUCUCCAUCUGGAAAUGGCAACACACCCUAGUCCAGCCAGGAGGGUGGGUGUGGAGAAGGACUGAAAUUGAGGAGGUGCUCUUAAAAUCACCAACUCUCCUGCUUUAAACUACUUGCUGCCUAGCACCAUGCUUGUGGAGUGGCUAAGAGUGUGGGCUCUGGGUCACACAGGCUGCAUUUGUGUCUGACUAGAAUGGGCAGCUGGGCUCAUCUAUGGCUGUUGGUCAUAAACAUUCACCAAAUGUGCAGGUGCUGUGCCAAACAUUUGGUAUGUAAGUGCUCAGACAGUAUUGGCUGUUCCUACCAAGAGUGUUGACAUGGCCUGGUUAGCACAGAACCUGCUGUACAUCAGCAUCGUGUGCACUGUGAUGCCCAGGUCCCCCUUCUGGACCCACCGGCAGUGCUGCUGCAAGAUGCCCUCCCCUCCAGGAGUUCCUCAGUGCAAGUGCAAGGUCAUGCCUGCUUCCCGGGGCAUGCGCUUUCAAUGACCGAGCAACAUACAGGCACAAAGGCCAGCCUCUCACCCAGCUGGGACAGCCCUAGCUUCACAAUUCCCGGGGCAUCACAGGUGGGCUUCUCCCUCUGCCACUCCUCGCUGACAGCAUUUCUGCAUGCUGGUCCUCAUCUGAGGGCACCCAACCGACAACCGCUCCCUUCCCUUCCCUAGUUAAAAAUAAAAAGGAAUUCAUCGUGGACACUGUCUCAGUUAAAAAGCUAAAAGCCAGAAACAUACCUCAGGGCCUGGAGCUCAUCAAGUUCCCAUAUUUCUCAGAGGAGGAACCUGAGGUCUUCAGAGAGGUGAGGAAGUGGGAAGUGCAUCCUUGACCAAAUAUCAAGGGUGCAGCAGAAGCUGGAGGAGGACUGCUCAAAGGACAAAGGUGGGCAGGCUCCACACUGUGUGGGAGUCAGAUGCCAAACUGCCUUCCAGCUUCCUGGAUGCAGGAUAUACAUCCUGGAAGGGGCUCAUUUUCUCCCAUCCCCUGGAUUCUUUCCCACAGUGCAGUUCAAGUAUCGAUGUAGUAAGGGCAGAAAUACAGGCUGUUGCUUCUGUGAACAGGAGAUGCAAACUGCUGUGCAGAUGUAACCGAGGGCCACCCUUGUCCCUAUGGGACCAACGAGGGAUGGGAGCAGGAGGAGGCCACUGUGGGGCAAGGAGUGGAAUUUCUGCCCUGACCUUUGGCUCAUAAUGGCAAGUAUGGUUGGAGUGGGUCCCAUGAGCCUGGCUGGUCCGGCUCCUGAAGGCCCUGUCCUGUGCAGCUUUCCCUGAGGGCCGUAGCCACAGCUCCAAGGGCACACAGGUGGUUUUCAAACUGCCUGGGGUUGAAGAUGAGUCCAUGCCCCAGGCUGCCAAUGUGCUGGGUAAGAAGUUCGAUGUUCAGAAGAGCUGAGCAGGGCUGGGACAGCACUGAAUGGUCCGGCCUCUUUAAGAAGAAAGCUGGAGGCAGUGCCAGCCUGAGAGGUGUCUUUAGCUUCUGCUACUGCAGCACUUUUCUCUUGAUAAGAUAAUCGAAAACAGGAAGCUGAGGGGGUGAAGGUAAGGCUGGACAAGGUGGCUGCAGAAGGAUUUUAUUUUCUCGGGCUUAUCACUUGAUUCCAAAUGCACAUUCCACCAGGCCAGGGAAGGGGGGCCCACUUGCUUCAUACAUAUGAUUUGUGCUUCCACUGGGAUAUUUUUAAAAUAUCCUUUCCUCCCCUAAAUGCUCUGAACCACAGAAGUUUUACCCCAGCUUUAGCACCAAGUUCAAAGAGAAAUCCUCCUCAGCUGUUUGGGGGGGGAUGGGGAAAUGUGUGUGGGCCAGAGCUCCCACUUAUGCAGAAAGAACCCCGGGGAGAUUUCUGUACAGAGGCAAAGGUGGGCAGGAGGUCAGUUCCUUCUUGUUGACACUUCGGCACACCGUCUCUCCUGGCCCACCAGCAGCAGGCAGGGGCCCUGCAGGCUUUAUCUGCUCCGUCCCGUCCCACUGGUGGAUGGCCAGCGCAGCGCACGUGGCCCCAGGAGCAAAAGGGCUCCGCUCUGCUGUCACCUUG